rnacentral:rRNA from 1 species
GACGAACGCUGGCGGCGUGCUUAACACAUGCAAGUCGAGCGGUAAGGCCCUUUCGGGGGUACACGAGCGGCGAACGGGUGAGUAACACGUGGGUGACCUGCCCUCAGCUCUGGGAUAAGCCUGGGAAAUCGGGUCUAAUACCGGAUAUGACUCCAUGACGCAUGUUGUGGGGUGGAAAGCCUUGUGCGGCUGGGGAUGGGCCCGCGGCCUAUCAGCUUGUUGGUGGGUGAUGGCCUACCAAGGCGA